CGCACGGUGGCUUAGUGGUUAGCACUUUUGCCUCACACCUCCAGGGUAGUUCAAGUCCAGGGUUCGAUUCCCGACCGGGCCG